UAAGGACAAUCUGAGGUCUUGGGUCAGC
rnacentral:piRNA from 1 species